CGCUUUUUGAAGGUAGACAUGCGCGAGAUGGAGAGAUGGCGGAAGCAGUUAUUCUUCCUUCGGGAAGUGCACGGAUCCAUUCUGUGUUAGACAGAUGACAAUGAUGGGGGAGUGAACUACAGUUAUUUAAAAGGAAACUGCAGAUUUGAGGUAAUCAACAUGAUUAUAUCAGGUGUUGGUGCCUGUGGCUGCUGUGACUGUGGAAUGCAGGGUCCUGGUCCUUUGUUCCAUCCUGCACACCGCGUGAGAGACGAGACAUGCAGAGGCCCAUCCAAGCAGCACAUCCGUCACUGCCACAACAGAGAGAACGAGGACAGAGUGGUUCCAAUUGUGCCGUAUAACAGCUUAAUCAACGCCCAUCAACUACUGCUAGAGUUUCCCGAAAGCCUUGAGACUUACUGCUUGAAGGACUCUCAAUGAAAACCACCCCUGUAACAGCUGUC
rnacentral:lncRNA from 1 species